CCUCCUUUCUUCCUCCUUGCGGCAUCUUGGUCAAUGGACGAGAGUCUGAACCAGCCAAGUAGCGUGAAGGAUGACUGCCCUAUGGGUUGUAAACUUCUUUUAUAUGGGAAUAAAACAGGGUAUGCAUACCCUCUUGUAUGUACCAUAUGAAUAAGGAUCGGCUAACUCCGUGCCAGCAGCCGCGGUAAUACGGAGGAUCCGAGCGUUAUCCGGAUUUAUUGGGUUUAAGGGGAGCGUAGGUGGAUUGUUAAGUCAGUUGUGAAAGUUUGCGGCUCAACCGUAAAAUUGCAGUUGAAACUGGCAGUCUUGAGUACAGUAGAGGUGGGCGGAAUUCGUGGUGUAGCGGUGAAAUGCUUAGAUAUCACGAAGAACUCCGAUUGCGAAGGCAGCUCACUGGACUGCAACUGACACUGAUGCUCGAAAGUGUGGGUAUCAAACAGGAUUAGAUACCCGAGUAGUC
rnacentral:rRNA from 1 species